rnacentral:rRNA from 1 species
GUCGAGCGAACGGACGAGAAGCUUGCUUCUCUGAUGUUAGCGGCGGACGGGUGAGUAACACGGGGAUAACCUACCUAUAAGACUGGGAUAACUUCGGGAAACCGGAGCUAAUACCGGAUGAUAUUUUGAACCGCAUGGUUCAAAAGUGAAAGACGGUCUUGCUGUCACUUAUAGAUGGAUCCGCGCUGCAUUAGCUAGUUGGUAAGGUAACGGCUUACCAAGGCAACGAUGCAUAGCCGACCUGAGAGGGUGAUCGGCCACACUGAAACUGAGACACGGUCCAGACUCCUACGGGAGGCAGCAGUAGGGAAUCUUCCGCAAUGGGCGAAAGCCUGACGGAGCAACGCCGCGUGAGUGAUGAAGGUCUUCGGAUCGUAAAACUCUGUUAUUAGGGAAGAACAUAUGUGUAAGUAACUGUGCACAUCUUGACGGUACCUAAUCAGAAAGCCACGGCUAACUACGUGCCAGCAGCCGCGGUAAUACGUAGGUGGCAAGCGUUAUCCGG